AACGUAGGAGGCGAGCGUUAUCCGGAGUGACUGGGCGUAAAGCGCGUGUAGGCGGUCAGGCAAGCUGGGUGUGAAAGCGCCAGGCUCAACCUGGCGAGGCCAUCCAGGACUGCGUGGCUGGAGGCCGGUAGAGGAGUGCGGAAUUCCGGGUGUAGCGGUGAAAUGUGUAGAGAUCCGGAGGAACACCAGUGGUGCAGACGGCGCUCGGGGCCGGACCUGACGAUGAGACGCGAAAGCGUGGGGAGCAAACAGG
rnacentral:rRNA from 1 species